UUUCCCCUGCAGUGUUUGCGAAGGCCAUAUAUUCCUUGAACCAAUGUCAUCUUGGCAUUGGCUGCUGACCCCAGACGCCGCCGUUGUGAUCGCCCCUCGCGGGUGAACCUGAAGCGGCAGGAACGCAGCCUCCCUGAAUCCCGGUUCAGGAUGCCGGUCUGGACGGCACUCGCGGGGGAAUU
rnacentral:other from 1 species